rnacentral:sRNA from 2 species
GUGUCUUUAUCGCUUAAUUUCAAGUUUGAAAGCGGGGGAACCAUUCUGUUAUCCAUUGAUAGCAUGGGGUGAAUCCUAAAGGUUUUAGGUAGGGCUACUCUCUAGCCCGAAUCCGUCAGCUAACCUCGUAAGCGUAUGGAGAGAGGCGCC